rnacentral:tRNA from 1 species
GGCCGGUUAGCUCAGCUGGUUAGAGCGUGGUGCUAAUAACGCCAAGUUUGUGGGUUUGAUCCCCAUACCCCU